rnacentral:tRNA from 1 species
UACGGUGUAGCUCAAAUGGUAGAGCAAGGAGGCUGAUAUGGGUUCGAGUCCCAUCACCGUAA